CUUACUUUAAAAAACUUGAGAUAAAUAUUCUUCUGUAUGCACUUGCACAUUUUAGAUUAGACGUUGUUUUAAAAAUGACAAAUAGUGCUUGCAGUUGUUCCUGUCGUUGUCGGUAUGACGUAUACUAGACUGAUUUAGAGAACAUAACGCGAACUGAAAGACCCGCCUUCGAAACAAAGAUACUUUUUAAGCAAAACAAAAAGUUUGAAUAAUUUGUGGCUCAGGGGUACCUUCAACCACAGAAUAAGAAGGUUCAGCAGAAGCGUGACUCAAGCAAGUAUUUGUCCGCGUUUUUACAAGCGAUUCGUCAUCAAUCACGUCAUCUUGGCUAGUACAACCGGCACUUUGUACCUACCAAAACCUGAUAAAAACGUCUGGUUGUACUAGCCAGGAUAGCGUGAGCGAGUUAAAAUUUUCGUGGGCGUAAAACAAUAAGGGAACCGACUCGAGGUACACUUCUGCUGUACCUUCUUAUUCUUGUGAUUCAACGUUGUCAUUCUGAAUGCAACAUUAAAAUAAGAUUUCACGUCAUUGUCGUCAUUGGAGCAAAGUGAAUGCUUGUUGCGAGUCUUGCGACGUUGUAGGAGUUACAUAAAAUCUGUUUCGUAGCAGAGGUCAUAGUUAUAUAUGCAUGAGUAAGCCUGGGACUGCUUGGGACGAUUACAUAAUUGUUAGUAUAAAUAGAGUUUUUGUAAAUAGACUAUCAUAUCAUGAAAUAGUAGUUAGAAUAAAGUAGUUCACCGUUUAUGAUCAUCACAGCAGACACCGCGGAUCAUUUUUUCCCGAUCUUACAGCCGUUUGUAAGCCUAAGGUUAUUUUAAAAAGCUUCAAUUUAUUCCAGUAAUCAAGUCCUUAGCUCUCAAUCUUGAAGUGAAAUUCAGACCGCAUCGUCGUCUUUUCGAAAUCUGUCUACUAACAUCGAAAUGGACCUGAAACUGGUCCGACAAAUUGUAAACGUACCCUUAGAGAUAAUAAACUUCUUAGGAAUCGUACUUGCAUUAACAGGAAGUUAUCUCAUUCAAGGUUUUAUUUUCGCUGCGUUUACACACUGCGAUUGAUUAGUGUUAACUUGUUGAUCAUUUGUUAAUUUUAAAUAAAGUAUUGCCUGCCUGAUUCGCUUUCUGGCGUAUGUCAUUGAGUAAACACGCGUAAGCUGGCUACAUUUGAAAUUUCUUUUUAACGAAACGGCAAGUAUUGCAAACAAAUAUUGUAUAAAUCACACUUUUUAUUAUAUNNNNNNNNNNNNNNNNNNNNAAACCUGAUAAAAACGUCUGGUUGUACUAGCCAGGAUAGCGUGAGCGAGUUAAAAUUUUCGUGGGCGUAAAACAAUAAGGGAACCGACUCGAGGUACACUUCUGCUGUACCUUUUUAUUCUUGUGAUUCAACGUUGUCAUUCUGAAUGCAACAUUAAAAUAAGAUUUCACGUCAUUGUCGUCAUUGGAGCAAAGUGAAUGCUUGUUGCGAGUCUUGCGACGUUGUAGGAGUUACAUAAAAUCUGUUUCGUAGCAGAGGUCAUAGUUAUAUAUGCAUGAGUAAGCCUGGGACUGCUUGGGACGAUUACAUAAUUGUUAGUAUAAAUAGAGUUUUUGUAAAUAGACUAUCAUAUCAUGAAAUAGUAGUUAGAAUAAAGUAGUUCACCGUUUAUGAUCAUCACAGCAGACACCGCGGAUCAUUUUUUCCCGAUCUUACAGCCGUUUGUAAGCCUAAGGUUAUUUUAAAAAGCUUCAAUUUAUUCCAGUAAUCAAGUCCUUAGCUCUCAAUCUUGAAG
rnacentral:lncRNA from 1 species